CGUAGGGGGCAAACGUUGUCCGGAUUUACUGGGUGUAAAGGGUGCUCAGGCGGUUUUGUAAGUCAGAAGUGAAAUCCUAGGGCUUAACUCUGGAACUGCUUUUGAUACUGCAAGGCUUGAAUAUGGAAGAGGAGGGCGGAAUUUCUGGUGUAGCAGUGAAAUGCGUAGAUAUCAGAAAGAACACCAGUGGCGAAGGCGGCCCUCUGGUCCAUUAUUGACGCUAAAGCACGAAAGCGUGGGGAGCAAACAGGAUUAGAUACCCUGGUAGUCCACGCCUUAAACGAUGAAUACUAGACGUUGGGGUUAAACUUAGUGUCGCAGCUAACGCAUUAAGUAUUCCACCUGGGGAGUACGAUCGCAAGGUUG
rnacentral:rRNA from 1 species